GACGAACGCUGGCGGCGUGCCUAAUACAUGCAAGUAGAACGCUGAAGGAGGAGCUUGCUUCUCUGGAUGAGUUGCGAACGGGUGAGUAACGCGUAGGUAACCUGCCUGUUAGCGGGGGAUAACUCUUGGAAACGAUAGCUAAUACCGCAUAAGAGUAGAUGUUGCAUGACAUUUGCUUAAAAGGUGCAAUUGCAUCACUACCAGAUGGACCUGCGUUGUAUUAGCUAGUUGGUGGUGUAACGGCUCACCAACGCGACGAUACAUAGCCGGCCUGGGAGGGGGAUCGGCCAAACUGGGACUGGGACACCGCCCAGACUCCGACGGGAGGCAGCAGUAGGGAAUCUUCGGCAAUGGACGGAAGGCUGACCGAGCAACGCCGCGUGAGUGAAGAAGGUUUUCGGAUCGUAAAGCUCUGUUGAAAGGGAAGAACGAGUGGGAGAGUGGAAAGUUCACACUGUGACGGUAGCUUACCAGAAAGGGACGGCUAACUACGUG
rnacentral:rRNA from 1 species